GAUGAAGAACGCAGCGAAAUGCGAUAAGUAAUGUGAAUUGCAGAAUUCAGUGAAUCAUCGAAUCUUUGAACGCACAUUGCGCCCCUUGGUAUUCCGAGGGGCAUGCCUGUUCGAGCGUCAUUAUAACCCCUCAAGCUCAGCUUGGUGUUGGGGCCUGCUGCACUGGCAGCCCUUAAAAUCAGUGGCGGCGCCAUCUGGCUCUAAGCGUAGUAAUUCUUCUCGCUAUAGAGUCCUGGUGGAUGCUUGCCAUCAACCCCCAAUUUUUCUAUGGUUGACCUCGGAUCAGGUAGGGAUACCCGCUGAACUUAAGCAUAUCAAUAAGCGGAGGA
rnacentral:misc_RNA from 1 species